GACGAACGCUGGCGGCGUGCUUAACACAUGCAAGUCGAACGGCAAGGCCCUGCUUUUGUGGGGUGCUCGAGUGGCGAACGGGUGAGUAACACGUGAGUAACCUGCCCUUGACUUUGGGAUAACUUCAGGAAACUGGGGCUAAUACCGGAUAGGAGCGCCUGCUGCAUGGUGGGGGUUGGAAAGUUUCGGCGGUUGGGGAUGGACUCGCGGCUUAUCAGCUUGUUGGUGGGGUAGUGGCUUACCAAGGCUUUGACGGGUAGCCGGCCUGAGAGGGUGACCGGCCACAUUGGGACUGAGAUACGGCCGAGACUCCUACGGGAGGCAGCAGUGGGGAAUAUUGCACAAUGGGCGGAAGCCUGAUGCAGCAACGCCGCGUGCGGGAUGACGGCCUUCGGGUUGUAAACCGCUUUCGCCUGUGACGAAGCGUGAGUGACGGUAAUGGGUAAAGAAGCACCGGCUAACUACGUG
rnacentral:rRNA from 1 species